rnacentral:rRNA from 1 species
AUUGAACGCUGGCGGAAUGCUUUACACAUGCAAGUCGAACGGCAGCGUAGGUGCUUGCACCUGAUGGCGAGUGGCGAACGGGUGAGUAAUACAUCGGAACGUGCCCAGUCGUGGGGGAUAACGUAGCGAAAGUUACGCUAAUACCGCAUACGAUCUAAGGAUGAAAGCGGGGGACCGUAAGGCCUCGCGCGAUUGGAGCGGCCGAUGUCAGAUUAGGUAGUUGGUGAGGUAAAGGCUCACCAAGCCGACGAUCUGUAGCUGGUCUGAGAGGGCGACCAGCCACACUGGAACUGAGACACGGCCCAGACUCCUACGGGAGGCAGCAGUGGGGAAUUUUGGACAAUGGACGCAAGUCUGAUCCAGCCAUUCCGCGUGCAGGACGAAGGCCUUCGGGUUGUAAACUGCUUUUGUACGGAACGAAAAAGCUCUUACUAAUACUAGGAGUCCAUGACGGUACCGUAAGAAUAAGCACCGGCUAACUACGUGCCAGCCGCCGCCGUAA